rnacentral:rRNA from 1 species
GACGGAGGAUGCAAGCGUUAUCCGGAAUGAUUGGGCGUAAAGCGUCUGCAGGUGGCAGUUCAAGUCUGCUGUCAAAGACCGGGGCUUAACUUCGGAAAGGCAGUGGAAACUGAACAGCUAGAGUAUGGUAGGGGUAGAGGGAAUUCCCGGUGUAGCGGUGAAAUGCGUAGAUAUCGGGAAGAACACCAGUGGCGAAAGCGCUCUACUGGGCCAUAACUGACACUGAGGGACGAAAGCUAGGGGAGCGAAAGGG